rnacentral:lncRNA from 1 species
AAUUGCAGACCAGGUUGUUCACCCAAUCAAAUAACAAUAAAUCAACUUUAUAAGUUUACUUAUGGUGGAAUUGUCACCUUGAAAAAUAUGUAAAAUAUAUGAAGGCUAUCAUUUUAUGCUAAGAGCAACUGAAGAAAAUUUGAAUUUCAUCAAAUACAGAUUAAAGAUGGUGCCAAAUAUUUUCAGCCAUUUCAGCUUACAAAUAAUUGUGAUCUUUAAAACACUCUUAAUACUAGCGAUUUAUUCAUUGAUGUGGGUAUCAGUUUUCUGGAUCCUAGUUUCAUAAUGUUCAAAAACACAUCAAUAAAAAAUAUUUCUAUAUUAUUUCUG